AUGCAAUCCAGCAGGGUAAUGUCUUAUGUUUCCAAUUUAGAAGGCCAUUUGGCUAGUAACCACAAAAUAGGACCUUUUGUUUCUCAAACUUUUUUUGGUGUGUGCGCAUUUAACCAUUCAAAAUAAUUUAUAGCCAUGUCACGAUUUAAAUUGUAACCCCAAAAUAAAACACUGUAUUAUUCGCAGAUAACACUGGAGCAGAAAUCUGAAAACAAAUACCGGCUCUUGCAAAUGGACAGUAACAUGCAUUGCUAAUUAUUUGCUAACAUGUUCCUGGAGAGUUGAAGAGAUAACUGUGUUUAACCAAACAUUUACCGAAGGCAGAGUUCCCCUGGAUACAACGUUUUACCUUAUGAAUGAAUAGAAAAUAAAUUAUUUCCAUGAAGGUACAAGUGAAAAUGUUACAUGCUGGUAGACACAACUUUUAUUGUUGUUCUAGGAAGCUAAGAGUCAGGUUGGAAUAGGCAAAUAUAUAAGGCAAAGCCCCUACAAUAUUUGGAGGAAGUCCCAACAAUCAGACGAUCCUAUAUGAGGAAGUACUGGGCAAGAGUGGGAAGGGAAAACUCCCUUUUAAAAGGAAAAAAAAAAAACCUCUGGAAGAAAAAGGCUCAUAGAAGGGUGGCCAUGUUAUAAAACAAACUACUCUAACUGAGCACUCAAAAGGCUUCAUCCACCCCAAACACAUUCACACAAGCCCUUUGUUGAACAUGUACACACUCACACGUCACCAACGGCUGCAUCAGGGGCCAAAUCACUGAAGAAGCAUCCUUCUCCCAGCCUUGGAAAACCAACCAGCUCUACCUCCAGAGCCACAGUCAGGUCAUUUGCUACAAGCAACUAUGGAAGGGGAAAAAAGAAAAAGGCAAGGAUAAGGAUAGAGGACAGAACACACACUAUGGGAGAAAAGUGUGUGUGUUGACUCCCGUCAAAAAGCUAAUACAUUCAGAUGAAAGGUGUGGUAAUAAAAACACAAAAUCCAAAAAAAAGUUUUCUAUAAUUGAAAGAUCUUCUGCCUCCAGACCCACUCUUCUUCUCCUCCACCAAGAUAUUUUAUUUCAGAAACUGUCAUUUACUUGCGUCAGAUAUAAGACGAUCAGUUAUCAUAGUUCACGUAGGAAAAAAAUAAUAAAUAGCUGUACCUAAGGAUUAAUGCAAACAGUCAUUCAGCUGGCGUGCGGUUACAUUUAUAAAUCUCGGUGAAGAAAAACUGUUUUGUGGCCCUUGUUCCACCAGUUUGCCUCAUAACACAA
ensembl:lncRNA